UUGACCUCGGAUCAGGUAGGAGUUACCCGCUGAACUUAAGCAUAUCAAUAAGCGGAGGAAAAGAAACCAACCGGGAUUGCCUCAGUAACGGCGAGUGAAGCGGCAAGAGCUCAAAUUUGAAAUCUGGCCCCUUUGGGGUCCGAGUUGUAAUUUGCAGAGGAUGCUUCGGGUGCGGUCCCCGUCUAAGUGCCCUGGAACGGGCCGUCAUAGAGGGUGAGAAUCCCGUCUGGGAUGGGCGGCCGCGCCCGUGUGAAGCUCCUUCGACGAGUCGAGUUGUUUGGGAAUGCAGCUCUAAGCGGGUGGUAAAUUUCAUCUAAAGCUAAAUACUGGCCGGAGACCGAUAGCGCACAAGUAGAGUGAUCGAAAGAUGAAAAGCACUUUGAAAAGAGAGUUAAACAGCACGUGAAAUUGUUGAAAGGGAAGCGUUGUCCACCAGACUCGCCCGGGGGGGUUCAGCCGGCACGUGUGCCGGUGUACUCCUCUCCGGGCGGGCCAGCAUCGGUUUGGGCGGCUGGUGAAAGGCCCCGGGAAUGUGCCACCCUUCGGGGUGCCUUAUAGCCCGGGGUGCCAUACAGCCAGCCUGGACCGAGGCCCGCGCUUCGGCGAGGAUGCUGGCGUAAUGGUGGUCAACGGCCCGUCUUGAAACACGGACCAAGGAGUCUAACAUCUAUGCGAGUGUUCGGGUGUCAAACCCGUCCGCGCAGUGAAAGCGAACGGAGGUGGGAGCCCCUCGGGGCGCACCAUCGACCGAUCCUGAUGUCUUCGGAUGGAUUUGAGUAAGAGCAUAGCUGUUGGGACCCGAAAGAUGGUGAACUAUGCCUGAAUAGGGCGAAGCCAGAGGAAACUCUGGUGGAGGCUCGCAGCGGUUCUGACGUGCAAAUCGAUCGUCAAAUUUGGGUAUAGGGGCGAAAGACUAAUCGA
rnacentral:rRNA from 1 species